rnacentral:pre_miRNA from 1 species
UAGCAGCACAGAAAUAUUGGCAUGGGGAAGUGAGUCUGCCAAUAUUGGCUGUGCUGCUCCA